CCUACGGGAGGCAGCAGUGAGGAAUAUUGGUCAAUGGACGAGAGUCUGAACCAGCCAAGUAGCGUGAAGGAUGACUGCCCUAUGGGUUGUAACCUUCUUUUAUAUGGGAAUAAAAUGUUCCAUGUGUGGGAUUUUGUAUGUACCUUAUGAAUUAGGAUCGGCUAACUCCGUGCCAGCAGCCGCGGUAAUACGUAGGCUCCGAGCGUUAUCCGGAUUUAUUGGGUUUAAAGGGAGCGUAGAUGGAUUGUUAAGUCAGUUGUGAAAGUUUGCGGAUCAACCGUAAAAUUGCAGUUGAAACUGGCAGUCUUGAGUACAGGAGAGGUGGACGGAAUUCGUGGUGUAGCGGUGAAAUGCGUAGAUAUCACGAAGAACGCCGAUUGCGAAGGCAGUUCACUGGACUGCAACUGACACUGAGGCUCGAAAGUGUGGGUAUCAAACAGGAUUAGAUACCCGUGUAGUC
rnacentral:rRNA from 1 species